GAAGAAACGAGAGAGUUAGGUCUUAUUCGUUUCAUCUCUAUUCAGCCUCCAAAUUUUCUGAUUCUUUCCUCUAAAUUUCAACUUUAUUCAGCCUCCAAAAUAAAGAUCCAGUUUCCUCCAACCGUUCUCGCAUCCGACGAGGAUUCUCUUUCUUUCCUCCAACCGUUCAUUUGCCUUCGAAACUUCAAGAUCUGUAACCAAAGCUUCUCCCUUUUUCCUCAUAUUUAGAUUAAUCAAUUCUUAAAUUGAUUAAUUUCGUUGUUGUUCCAGGUAAUAGAAGAUCUGCGUUCAGAUAAUCAAUCUCCAGGUUAGAGUGAUGAGCUAGUCAUGCAUCAUGGACACAACUUGAAAGGAAUAGGGCUAAUGAUAUGGGCUUAAAGACAAAUCAUCGAAGUCUUGGAGGUUAGGGCUAAUGAUAUGGGCUUAAAGACAAAUUAGUUAUAGGGCCUAUUUAGACCCAAUUAAUAUCUUGUACUUUUUGAUUUUGUUUUUUAUUUAGGCCCAUCAAAACAAGAUUUAAUAUCAAAUUAUUGCAAAUUCUGAUUUUUGUA